rnacentral:sRNA from 1 species
CAUCUCGAUUUCACUGAGAAAGUGCACGUGCGUGUCGACGGCUCCCGCGGUGAGUAUUUUUCCUUCUCCUGAGAUGACAUCGGUAGCGGGACCGAUCUGCAUGUCGGGGCGGAUCCCAUCCAUGAUGUCGGAGUUGCCUGCCUUGGCGACGGCGACUAUUCGACCGUCGCGGAUUCCGACGUCGGCACGGACUAUGCCCCAGUGAUCGAGAACGAUCGCGUUCGUGAUCACGACGUCGAGCGCACCCUCGGAACGUAUCGAAGAGCCUUGGCCCAUGGAUUCGCGGAUG